GAGCCAGCCUGGUUUUAUUUCACUGUGUCAAAUUGUACCUCCUUAUUGAAUUCCUUUGCCAGCCUACUUUGUGAAAGAAAACAUUGGGGUUUCUUUGGCUGUUCUUGAUAAGCCUAUAAAAAAUGAUAUUUUUUAGUUGCUUAUAGUUGCUGAAGUAAAGGAACCCUGCAGCCUUCCCAUGCUAUCUGUUGACAUGGAAAACAAGGAAAAUGGCUCUGUCGGUGUAAAAAAGUAAGUGAAGCUGGCUUCUGAGUUCUGCUUCUGCAAACAACAGAGGGACUUGGUUUCUAUUUUCGUACUUCUUGCUUAUCUACUACAAUACACAGUUUGGGGGUCGCCUUGGUUUGUCUACACUGGCCAGCAGCCUCCCUUCUCCCCCCUACCCCCGUUACCUUUUUCUGUAUUCCAUUUCUAAGACAGAGAUGACUCAGACAUCAAAAUAUAUAUGAAAGGUUUGUGUAUCAGGCUUUGGAACAAGGAUGGUUGAGGAUUUCAGCCCUGCAUUCUGUAUAUUGAAACAAAAACUCCAAGCAGAGACUCUUCCAUAGACAACACAGAAUGGGGGCAGAAAAUAGAGUUCAAAUUUUUUUUUUUAAUACAAUCACCUCUAACUCUGAAAACUAAGAGCUAUAGUGCAGGAGGGGAAAAAGCUUCAGUAAGAAUAUAGUUUAACAACUCCUCCGUCCUAAUUUUAUGAACUGUUUAAUGAAUGUGAAACAUUUCUGUGCAUACAUGGUGUUUAUUUUAAUGUCUGUUCUCACAUUUGAAACUUGUGUUUAUAUGUGUCAUGUAAGAGUUAUAUAUUUGAUUAUUUUAAAUGGGAAAAUUCAAUUGCACACGUAACAUAAUAUUUUGAUAUUUAUGAGUAUAUGAAAAAUGUAUAUUCUCACUUAGGAGUUAUAGCAAAGCAAUAAGUACUUUGAUUACAAGGAGAAAGUGAGUUCCAAGAGGGAGUUAUCUGUUUCAUUUCUUUCCAUAUCAUUUAGUUUAAAAUUGCCGUCAACUUGAGCUUUGGAGGAAACUAAUUAAAUAUAAUCCAUAGAAGCUGUGAUAUCUAAAUGAGGAAACAGUGUGCUAUAUGUUUAUGAAUAGAAGGUAUAUUUUGCUUCACAGCAAAGUUACAUUAAAACUAACUUAAUAAAAUCUGUUUUUUAAAGUUCUCGGGUAAUUUAUAUAUCAGUGCCAUACUGCCAUGCUGAUUACCAUCCCUAAAGUUUGGGG
rnacentral:sRNA from 1 species